CUAAUGUUAGCUAGCUCAUUAGCUACCUGUGCUACUGCUUAACAUGAGGUAAUAGUCAGUCUAAUGUUAGCUAGCUCAUUAGCUACUUGUGCUACUGCUUAACAUGAGGUAAUAGUCAAUCUAAUGUUAGCUAGCUCAUUAGCUACCUGUGCUCCUGCUUAACAUGAGGUAAUAGUCAAUCUAAUGUUAGCUAGCUCAUUAGCUACCUGUGCUCCUGCUUAACAUGAGGUAAUAGUCAGUCUAAUGUUAGCUAGCUCAUUAGCUACCUGUGCUCUUGCUUAACAUGAGGUAAUAGUCAAUCUAAUGUUAGCUAGCUCAUUAGCUACCUUUGCUCUUGCUUAACAUGAG
ensembl:lncRNA